rfam:Tetranychus urticae London genomic scaffold, scaffold_1
ACCCGAUGAUGAGUCGUGCCAUGCUAAUACAGAGUUCCCAUCUCAAUGUUUGUCAACCUUAAGGUUGAUGAUGUGAGUGAAAACGGGGGCAAUGAGUUGAAAAAUUUCUUCUCAUCCUUAACUCUGAGGGUU